rnacentral:rRNA from 1 species
AGCAGCCGCGGUAAUUCCAGCUCCAAUAGCGUAUAUUAAAGUUGUUGCAGUUAGAAAGCUCGUAGUUGAAUUUCGGGGUUAGCAGGUCGGUCGUGCCAUCGGUAUGAACUGGUCUCGCUGAUCCCUCCCUCUUGACGAACUGUGAUGCCAUUAAUUUGGUGUCGCAGGGAAUCAGGACUGUUACUUUGAAAAAAUUGAGUGUUUAAAGCAGGCUCACGCUUGAAUACAUUAGCAUGGAAUAAUGAAAUAGGACGUUUGAUCCUAUUUUGUUGGCUUCUAGGAUUGACGUAAUGAUUAAUAGGGAUAGUUGGGGGCAUUAGUAUUCAAUUGUCAGAGGUGAAAUUCUUGGAUUUAUUGAAGACUAACUACUGCGAAAGCAUUUGCCAAGGAUGUUUUCAUUAAUCAAGAACGAAAGUUAGGGAUCGAAGACGAUCAGAUACCGUCGUAGUC